CCUGCUCUCCUCCCUCUCUCCAGGCGUUUUUUGAUUUCUCCUCUCACCUCCUCUUUCUCUCUCCCCCUUUCAUAUCCCAGAGUGCCUCUUUCUUCUGUUCGUCUCUUCCGAUCGCAAGUUCUCCUCAAGCCAGCUUUCCUUUGCCAGGACCUCCACAGCCUGUCUGGUCCUCCUGAGCAGUUACUGCCUUCCCAGCAUUAUCCAGCAGGCCCAUCUGUGAGCUGGAGGACGAGAUCUGAUUGAAGCACGGGAUCUACUGUGCUAAUCUAAUGUACAUAUGAGCAAAUAUGCAGCAAUGCUUUGAAUGAGCAUUAAAGCUCAUCAAAUUGUGUGAAUAUAGAUAAUGAAUUAAUCCGUUCUCCUCAAAGAACUUUGCCAUGUGUUAGUUAUGUUUCCUAGCACAUUUUGGCUGUUUAAAUCCAUAUAAAUGUCUGAUGGACAAAGUCAUUGCUAAUAUUGUUUGCAGAUACAAAUAUUCACAAUCUUUGAGAGAAAGUAUACUAUCUAUUAAUCUUCAACUCUCACCACCUUCCCAACAUUAGAGUGUAAACAGUGAAAGAGGUGUAAAAUCUGAACUAUAUUAUUCAAAAAAGAAGCUCUUGUUUUAUUGUAGGCAAGUUCUACAACCUCUCACGAGUCAGCAUGUGGUGUCUCCAACCACUGCAGAUUUCAGACCUAAAACAGUCUCUAUCCUCUAUAGUGUGAACACCAGUAUCCCAAAUAUGAUGUUGACGGGACAUAUGUCAUGCUUGGUUUGCAAAGGACCCGGGCACGGAAAUCUUUGUUGAAGUGAAUAGUCCUUAAAAAGAAAGAAAGAACAAAUCUACUUUUAGAGAAGACACGUGGUGGCUAGAGGAUGUUACAGAGAAAAAUCAAACAUACAAAACUGAGGUGAGCAACAGAAGGAUCCAACAAGGAAUGACUGAAGAAACUCUGGUGUUCCUCAGUGGUCAUAGCCCCAUGUCUGACACUGAUGGGUUCUGUUGCUCCGUUCACUGCUGUCCUCCUACGACAGGCACCCAGCUCCCAACUCUUAAUUGGUGGAAAUGCUAGCAGCGUCUGGUUAUGGCACCUUCUCGGAGCUGCCAGUCUCCAAGACGAGCGUCUUCCUCACAGAGAUCCCCUUCCUGGCUGCUCCACCACUCACCUCCUUCAGACCAGCAGCAUGCAGCAAAAAGUUGACACUUGGUGCAACAGUACAUCCGCUGAGCUCGUCGUAGGAACGACUUGUUAGUGCAACGCGCCAGAGAACGUUGUAAAUGGCUUAAAGGGGAAACAUUCUUGUGGUCAUGGGCUGUAGAUAAAGUGUCAGAAAGAGCUGGAGACAAAGGCCUAACUUCAAAAUGUUAAAUUGGAAAAUCAAACUUCUUUUUAACCAUGUUUGAGACACAAGUAGUUCUCUGCCUCUAGCAACCAUCAAGAGCUUUGAGCAAAUUACCUUAUUGCAGAUGUAUUGUGUUUAAUUUGAAGGAAUGCUUAUAAUCAACAGUGCAGCCAAAACAAUGGGGCUUUUUACUUAAGUAAUACUUUUAACCUGUUUGGAGUUGCUAUUAGGCCUUUUUACUCAGCUGGUGAGAAGGAGGAAGCAACCAGGUGGAACAGGUUUUAAAAAUAAAAAGUGGUUUAUUGUUUAGGUUUCUUCCAAGUAAAAGGGGAAAUUCUCUGUUAUGUCUGUUUAAUUCACAAGCUGCGUAUUCAUGUAAGGAAAUUGUGAUAUUAAAUUGACUGUAUAAAGACUUCCGACCCACCUUUACAAGACAAUCAGAAAUUAAUUAUAA